UCCUACGGGAGGCAGCAGUGGGGAAUAUUGCACAAUGGGCGGAAGCCUGAUGCAGCAACGCCGCGUGCGGGAUGACGGCCUUCGGGUUGUAAACCGCUUUCGCCUGUGACGAAGCGUGAGUGACGGUAGUGGGUAAAGAAGCACCGGCUAACUACGUGCCAGCAGCCGCGGUGAUACGUAGGGUGCGAGCGUUGUCCGGAUUUAUUGGGCGUAAAGGGCUCGUAGGUGGUUGAUCGCGUCGGAAGUGUAAUCUUGGGGCUUAACCCUGAGCGUGCUUUCGAUACGGGUUGACCUGAGGAAGGUAGGGGAGAAUGGAAUUCCUGGUGGAGCGGUGGAAUGCGCAGAUAUCAGGAGGAACACCAGUGGCGAAGGCGGUUCUCUGGGCCUUUCCUGACGCUGAGGAGCGAAAGCGUGGGGAGCGAACAGGCUUAGAUACCCUGGUAGUCCACGCUGUAAACGGUGGGUACUAGGUGUGGGGUCCAUUCCACGGGUUCCGCGCCGUAGCUAACGCUUUAAGUACCCCGCCUGGGGAGUACGGCCGCAAGGCUAAAACUCAAAUGAAUUGACGGAA
rnacentral:rRNA from 1 species